CGUAGGGUGCAAGCGUUGUCCGGAAUUAUUGGGCGUAAAGAGCUCGUAGGCGGUUUGUCGCGUCUGCUGUGAAAACUGGAGGCUCAACCUCCAGCCUGCAGUGGGUACGGGCAGACUAGAGUGCGGUAGGGGAGAUUGGAAUUCCUGGUGUAGCGGUGGAAUGCGCAGAUAUCAGGAGGAACACCGAUGGCGAAGGCAGAUCUCUGGGCCGUAACUGACGCUGAGGAGCGAAAGCGUGGGGGAGCGAACAGGAUUAGAUACCCUGGUAGUCCACGCCGUAAACGUUGGGAACUAGAUGUGGGGUCCAUUCCACGGAUUCCGUGUCGCAGCUAACGCAUUAAGUUCCCCGCCUGGGGAGUACGGCCGCAAGGCUA
rnacentral:rRNA from 1 species